rnacentral:rRNA from 1 species
GUCUACGGUCAUGCCACCCUGAACAAGCCCAAUCCUGUCUGAUCUCUGAAGCUAAGCAGGGUUGGGCCUGUUUAGUACUUGGAUGAGAGACCACCUAGGAAGACCAGGUGCUGUAGGAG